rnacentral:tRNA from 1 species
GCCGCCGUAGCUCAGUGGUAGAGCGCACCCAUGGUAAGGGUGAGGUCGAGAGUUCAAUCCUCUCCGGCGGCUCCA